CACGCAAAGUGCUUUCAGGAAGUGGCUCCCUUCGCCGCAACUCCACACCUCGGGGUAACCGUAGAGAUUGGCAGCAAUGCCCCAGCCCCUCACCAGCACUGUGCAAAGUGACUUUGACAGGCAGAGAAAAGCCAACCCAGUCGAAUUCGUCUGGAAAGCAUUCCAGCAACCCAGAGAGGAGCCUCUGUUUCUCUCUCUGGGAAAAAGCCCCAAGGGUUUUGCUGAACCCAGGUCUUCCUGCUCAUCUCUCAGCAGUUCAGAGCUACAUAAACAACUUCUGACCAUUUACGCAAUCAUGUAAACCUACCCUGACAUCUCCACUAUGUGGAAAAGAUGUUAACUGGAAAACUAUUUUUAAACUACUGCAGUAAGCAAAUAAACAUCCAACUCCAACAUAUAUAUGCAGCAGCCUUAUUAGUUCAUUCAGUGUUGGUUUGGUUUGUUUGUUUUGU
rnacentral:lncRNA from 1 species